AGUUUCUCGUGAAUUUGUACUUCUGGCAUUUUUAGCUGUCUCGGCGUGCUGUUGGCUUGCACAAGGACGCUACCUACCGACGAGAUUUGACGAAACAAGAAAAGAAGAAAUUAAGAACGUUCUUCAAAUGUUGUUUGAACUUAACCACUUGGAUGAAGAGGGAUACAACAGACAACAAAGGCAGCAUGACUACAAGCUCCCCCUACCGACCUUAAAACGUUCUAUAUCCAGCGGCUUCAACCAAAAGUAAUUUCGCCAUCUGUCGACGACAGCCGUUAUUAAUAAGCAAAUUUGGAUUAUUAAUUUCAAUUUGCCUUUUCGUAGCUUAACAUUAAAAUAAUUCAACCAGCUAUAAUCGUACGAUAAAUUUCAGAAAAUUGUAUUAUGUAAAACCAAAUACUAAUUAUUGUAAUCAAUGACCAUAAUUUAAAACCAGUCAUUAAUCUACAAGUCUCUGAAACAGCUUAUUAGGCUAUAUAUUUAAAUAUUAUUACAUUUCCUUAAAAUAUUUAUUUUUUAAUUUCUCUAAAUGCCAAACCAUGGACCUAACAUACUUUUAAACAAUAUAUUUUGAUUAAUUUAAAACCAGGCUUAAAAUGUUUGACAAACCUUCGGACCACUAAAUAAGAAAUACGUACUACAUAGACGCCCUCUAUUUUCUCCUGCAAAUUAACAAUAAAUGUAGAUUAAUGACAAUCGGACCACCAGAAUCCAUUACCUUCAUUGUUUUCAAAUGUAAUCAACCCUUCAAAUUUCUGUUAUUACUGCAAUGACUUAAACAUGUAAAAUAAUUGUGUAUGAAGUUUACGUGUGAAUAAAAUAUGUUUAUUUGAAAAGAAA